UAUCAAAAAGUGGUCUCGUUAAGUUC
rnacentral:piRNA from 1 species